AACGAACGCUGGCGGCAUGCCUAACACAUGCAAGUCGAACGAGACCUUCGGGUCUAGUGGCGCACGGGUGCGUAACGCGUGGGAACCUGCCCUUAGGUUCGGAAUAACUCCCCGAAAGGGGUGCUAAUACCGGAUAAUGUCUUCGGACCAAAGAUUUAUCGCCUUUGGAUGGGCCCGCGUUGGAUUAGCUAGUUGGUAGGGUAAAAGCCUACCAAGGCGACGAUCCAUAGCUGGUCCGAGAGGAUGAUCAGCCACACUGGGACUGAGACACGGCCCAGACUCCGACGGGAGGCAGCAGUGGGGAAUAUUGGACAAUGGGCGAAAGCCUAAUCCAGCAAUGCCGCGUAAGUGAUGAAGGCCUUAGGGUUGUAAAGCUCUUUGACCCGAGAUGAGAAUGACAGUACCGGGAGAAUAAGCUCCGGCUAACUCCGUG
rnacentral:rRNA from 1 species